rnacentral:rRNA from 1 species
UACAGAGGGUGCGAGCGUUGUCCGGAAUCACUGGGCGUAAAGGGCGCGUAGGUGGCGACCCAAGUCGAUGGUGAAAGCUCGCCGCUCAACGGCGAGUCGGCCACCGAUACUGGGUUGCUGGAGCACUGUAGAGGCUCAGUGGAAUUCCGGGUGGUAGCGGUGGAAUGCGUAGAGAGUCCGGAAGAACGACCGGUGGCGAAGGCGGUGAGCUGGGCAGUUGCUGAC